CAGUAGCCGCGGGAAAACGAAGGGGGCUAGCGUUGCUCGGAAUGACUGGGCGUAAAGGGCGCGUAGGCGGUCACGAUAGUCAGAUGUGAAAUUCCUGGGCUUAACCUGGGGACUGCAUUUGAUACUGUGUGGCUUGAGUGUGGAAGAGGGUCGUGGAAUUCCCAGUGUAGAGGCGAAAUUCGUAGAUAUUGGGAAGAACACCGGUGGCGAAGGCGGCGACCUGGUCCAUAACUGACGCUGAGGCGCGAAAGCGUGGGGAGCAAACAGGAUUAGAUACCCCAGUAGUCCCUGUCUCUUAUAC
rnacentral:rRNA from 1 species